rnacentral:lncRNA from 1 species
CACAUUUCCAUGUACCUGAGUCAUCAAAAUUUCUAAAUCUGGUGGGUUCUUCACCCUAGAGUCCCAAGAGUGCCAUAAGAUACAUCCUGGCAUGGCAGUGGCCAGAGGGGCUGGUCUGGAAAGGGUGACAGAGGCCCUGAUGUCUCAGGGAAAAGCACUCAGCAUGAACCAGUAAUCUGCACAAGGGUCGACCUAGUCCAGAAAGAACUUUUCCUGGGCUCGGUUCCCACCCUGGUGGUCACAUCGCCGUGACUCAGCAGGAAGAGGCCUCCCCAGAGCCCAGGUCUCUCACAGUUAAGUGUUGUCAGAGGCUGCCGCGUGGGCCAGCAGUCCAUCUCAUUGGGUUAGCAGCAGCAUUCCAACCCACAGGAUUUGUUCACAGGCUGGAAUGCUGGCCUCAGGGCUGGGCAGUGGCACUUCCUCCACUUGGUCCUGAUGCUUGCAGUGAUACCCUGUGGUGGUGCCAUAAAUCAGCUCUGCUCUGUGCUUUCCCAGAGAGAUUUCCAAAUGAAUUGCCCUCCAAGCAGGCAGCGUGAGAUACCUCCUUUCAGAUGUCAUGAACUAGAUGGAAUUUUGUUUUUACUAGAGGGGGGUAAAUAGCAAUGCCAGGCUAUGAUGUUGGAGUCUAUUCAGUUUGCCUCACUUGACCCACAUGUCAGUUAUGAGCUAAACCUCACAGGCUGUCUCCUCAGGGUUAGUGGUUAUUUUUCCUCAGCUAGAGGGAAGAACAAAGGAAUGGAGCCCAGAUGCACCAGAAUGGGGACCUGGUGGAAGAACUGAAAAAGCUGGGGAUCCGCUCCACCCUUUUAGAUGAAAAGUAAGAAAGAAAUAUGGAUGUGCCCAUAGCACACAUUACUCAGCUUUGAAACUGGCAGAUAAGGCUGUUGCCUUACAGAAGGGCAGAGAAACAUGAAGGAAUCAACCCAAGUCCAUGAGUGACUGAAUGAGUUGAGUAGGCCACCUAUGUGCUCUGGACUGUCAAGUGGAGAGAAACUUGACAAGUGGUGAGUUCUUUGACUCCCUGUACUAUUGGGUUUUUAUAUUAUAGAGGCUUAGCCCUUUAAGCCUGAUAAAGCCAGGGAAACUUGGAGGUCUGAAAGCUCCGAUUGGUAGCUUGUGGGGAAGAGUGGCUCUUGGUGGCACAGGACAGGUGGGAAGGAAAAGGGAGUCAGGAUUUGGCACAAGACUACCAACCAUGGUAGGUGGGUAUGGCAAGUGCGUGUCCAGUUGAUUUCUAAGGAUGAUUUUGGUGGUACUGCCAGGUAGGGGAGAUAAGAAAUAAGGAAUAAGCUUGGUUGUGAGUCAUACAGAAGUGUAGUUUUCUUAUGAGAAAGAAUAACUGAGUCAGGGGAAAUGGUAC